CCACAAUUACAUUGAUUAAGCCCCAAGAUAUUUGGUUUGAUAGAACUAUACAUUUAAUGCGAGACUAGUAGUUUAGACCUGGUAAGUCAUACACAAUCAUACGCUGUGCUUCCUUCUGAUUUUUCCCUUGCCAUGGCUCUUCUUUUUUGCAAUCUUGAUUUUCAUUUUCAGCUUCUUCCGAAUUGGUUUUAAGGCUUUAGAAGUUUGACCACCAUCAGUCAUCUCCACAUCUGCUAAACAAUGGAAACGACAUUAAUAUACAAAGAAAGACAUUUUUGUACUAAGAAGUGUGAAAAAUAUGGUUCCAUACACGUGUAUUCAUCAUGAAUGGAUAUAUAAAAGAAUGAUUUAUCCAGAUUUUUCAAGAUACCAGAAGGUUGAUAGACAUUACAAUAUAUUAAUAGAACGCUUUUAAUCACCAGUUAAGAAAAGUCAAAACAGUUAUGCAGAAUAGAGUUUACAAGUAUAUAGUAGUUAUCCAUCAAGGCCGCUAAAUGCUCCUCUACAUAUAGCUUCAAUACAUUCUAUGAAGAGCAAAAAGGCUAUCUUUCAAAGGAAACUGCUUGAUGCCUUCUUAUAGAUGAACUCUAAUUGUGUACAGAAAUGUUUGUAUCUUUUCAAUAUUGUACACUUUCUUUACAAUUUUAGUCUCAUAUUCCCAGGAGACUAUAUCUCAAGAAGGGUUAAAUACACCGUCAGUCACCUAGCAAGGCUUCAAGUUGGCUACCAGACUUUAUUUUGCUCCAACUUAGACACUGACCUAUUGAUAUUGUUUAGGUUUGCUCUUGCUCACCCCGUUCAACUCUAUCUCACAAACUAAUGGAAAAAACUUGUGGACAUGGUGGAUGAAACUGAUUUGUAAUUAUGCAGCUGUUAGCUAACAUGCUUUGGCAUGCCACAUGUAAAAAGCCAUUUAAAUGAUGAAGUCAUUUUAUGUGAAUGCAACUUUACUAUUUAUCCAAGAGUUUUACUGUGGUCAUCAUAAUAAUCUCCAUGCAUCAAUCCAAAAACUCCAAUAUUUGACUCAAGUCAACAAGCUCUUACUAAAUUCCUCAUUUAGAUUUGUCAUUAUUAACAACUAUAUUCGUUCUUACUGCCAGUAUUGUUGUUAUUAUACACAUCAUUAUAGUAAUCAUGAGAAUAUAGUUCUCGAACCUGCUGUUGCAGUUUAGACGGAGCUGAUUGUAGGAGGAGGAGGAAUAGCGGGACUCAAUAAUUUUAUAACAGGGAUGCUUCGUUUACUUGGCAUAGCAGGAAAUGGCCACAUUAAUAGCCGUGUUCAAUGAAUGAAUGGGUUGUUUGAGCAGAAAAAGAGUUGAGAUCUGAGAAGGUGGAAAACCUUCUGUUCUCUGUCUCUAUUUCAGUAAGGUGGGUGGCCCGGGGGG
rnacentral:lncRNA from 1 species